rnacentral:tRNA from 1 species
GGUCCCGUAGCUCAAUGGUAGAGCAGUUGACUCUUAAUCAAUUGGUUGAAGGUUCGAGUCCUUCCGGGAUCA